AUUGAACGCUAGCGGGAGGCCUAACACAUGCAAGUCGCGCGGCGCGGCGGACGGGUGAGUAAUGUCUAGGAAUCUGCCUGGUAGUGGGGGAUCACGUCCGUAAACGGUCGCUAAUCCCGCAUCCUAUCAGAUCAGCCUAUGUCGGAUUAGCUAGUUGGUGGGGUAAAGGCCUACCAAGGCGACGAUCCGUAACUGGUCUGAGAGGAUGAUCAGUCACACUGGAACUGAGACACGGUCCAGACUCCGACGUGAGGCAGCAGUGGGGAAGAUUUGACAAUGGGCGAAAGCCUGAUCCAGCCAUGCCGCGUGUGUGAAGAAGGUCUUCGGGUUGUAAAGCACUUUAAGUUGGGAGGCGGUACCAACAGAAUAAGCACCGGCUAACUUCGUGCCAGCAGCCGCGGUAAUAC
rnacentral:rRNA from 1 species